GCUUAUGACCACACCGGCCUGAGUACGCCUGAUCUCGGAAGCUAAGCAGGGUCGGGCCUGGUUAGUACUUGGAUGGGAGACAGCCUGGGAAUACCAGGUGCUGUAAGCG
ensembl:rRNA 5S_rRNA 5S ribosomal RNA